UCANCCGUUAAACUGCUUGGGAAACUGAUANUCUAGAGUAAGGGAGAGGCAGAUGGAAUUCUUGGUGUAGGGGUAAAAUCCGUAGAUAUCAAGAAGAAUACCUAUUGCGAAGGCGAUCUGCUGGAACUUAACUGACGCUAAUGCGUGAAAGCGUGGGGAGCAAACAGGAUUAGAUACCCUGGUAGUNCACGCCCUAAACGAUGUAUACCGGUUGUUGCUGUGCUAGUCACGGCAGUAAUCCACCUAACGGAUUAAGUAUACCGCCUGGGGAGUACGGUCGCAAGAUUAAAACUCAAAGGAAUAGACGGGGACCCGCACAAGCGGUGGAGUAUGUGGUUUAAUUCGAAGAUACGCGAAGAACCUUACCCGGACUUGAUAUCUAACAAAUCAUCCAGAGAUGGAAGAGUGUCUGCUUGCAGAAAUGUUAAGACAGGUGCUGCACGGCUGUCGUCAGCUCGUGUCGUGAGAUGUUGGGUUAAGUCCCGCAACGAGCGCAACCCACGUCAUUAGUUGCUAACGGUUCGGCCGAGCACUCUAAUGAGACUGCCUUCGUAAGGAGGAGGAAGGUGUGGACGACGUCAAGUCAUCAUGGCCCUUAUGUCCGGGGCGACACACGUGCUACAAUGGCAUAUACAAUAAGACGCAAUAUCGUAAGAUGGAGCAAAUCUAAAAAAUAUGUCCCAGUUCGGAUUGGAGUCUGCAACUCGACUCCAUGAAGCCGGAAUCGCUAGUAAUCGUAGAUCAGCCAUGCUACGGUGAAUACGUUCCCGGGUCUUGUACUCACCGCCCGUCACACCAUGGGAGUUGAUUUCACUCGAAGCGGGAAUGCGAAAUUCGCUACCNUCC
rnacentral:rRNA from 1 species